CUUCUUAAGCAAUUCUCCCACCACAGCCUCUGUGCUGGGAUUACAGGUGUGAGCCACUGUACCCGCCUGGCCUCUCUUUGAAACCUGCCCAGUGACAGGGAUCUCAAUGCAGGGCAUUGCAUGUCUUCUGACAGGAUGCUGGUUUAGGUCACUCCCUCUGCCCUGCAAGCCAGCUGUGUCCCCAGCGUUUCCCCCGGCAGAGACAGAUCACUCCCUGUGAGAGUGUUUUGGUGGCAGCGUGGAAUGGCUUCCCUGUUUGGCCCCCUGGGAAUACUGGAACCUGGGAAGGGACCUCUGCAGCUAACCCAGGGCUGGGCAGUGAGUUACUGAAAGGAAAAGGAAUUUAUUUUUAAUUUCCUGGGUUUUCUUGGCUGUUGCUUUGGAGUGGAGAUCAUUUAGGCAUCUGGUACCCUGAUGACCUGAGAGGAGAAGGAAAGUCCGUGGAAAGGAGUUAGGUGACUUCUGGGCUCCACAUGGACCAAACCCAGCUGGCAGUCAGAGGCCAAGAGCAUCUUGAUGCACGGCAUACUGACCGAUUCCAGGGUGCAGUGCACGAUGGAAAAGGAGGAACGUACCUGAAGAGGCAAAUGAAAGAUAUCCAGCAUCACAGGCAACCUUGCUUCUAUUACCGAAAAUCUGCCCUGGAGGUCAAUUUGCCAUGACAAAGUUGCUCUGUAAGAAACUCCCAGGAUGCAUGCUCAGACUCAGGGGCCUGUGCAGGGAUGGGCCAGCCUGAAGCAGACGGGCUGCAGCCUCGCAGGGUCCCUUCUGCAGCAAGGAGAACAGCGUGACAGCUGGGUCGUCUUCGCAGGACCGAAUGUGCCCUGUUGCAGAUCAUGAGAACUGAAUGCAUCCCGACUGUGCUGCCCACCCACUGUGAGAACUGACUCGGAAUCGCUGCGCGCUGGUGUCCAGGGGAGUGCCACACUCACGCAACUGUGACUGCUCGGAAUCGCUGCCGCUGGUGUCCAGAGUGCCACACUCACGCAACUGUGGACUGCUCGGAAUCGCUGCCGCUGGUGGUCCACGGAGUGCCACACU